UAAAAUAUAAAUGUAUACAUAAAUAUACUAUUACUUAAUAAUAAUAAUAUAAU
rnacentral:tRNA from 1 species